rnacentral:tRNA from 2 species
GGGGACAUGGCGCAGCGGUAGCGCGUCUGCUUUGCAUGUAGAAGGUCAGGGGUUCAAGCCCCCUUGUCUCCA